UCUCCGUUGGUGAACCAGCGGAGGGAUCAUUGCUGGAACGCGCCCCUGGCGCACCCAGAAACCCUUUGUGAACUCAUACCUUACCGUUGCCUCGGCGCAGGCCGGCCCCCCAGGGGGGGCCCCUCGGAGACGAGGAGCAGGCCCGCCGGCGGCCAAGUUAACUCUUGUUUUUACACUGAAACUCUGAGAAACAAAACACAAAUGAAUCAAAACUUUCAACAACGGAUCUCUUGGUUCUGGCAUCGAUGAAGAACGCAGCGAAAUGCGAUAAGUAAUGUGAAUUGCAGAAUUCAGUGAAUCAUCGAAUCUUUGAACGCACAUUGCGCCCUCUGGUAUUCCGGAGGGCAUGCCUGUUCGAGCGUCAUUUCAACCCUCAAGCCUGGCUUGGUGAUGGGGCACUGCUCCCCCCCGGGGAGCAGGCCCUGAAAUCCAGUGGCGAGCUCGCCAGGACCCCGAGCGCAGUAGUUAAACCCUCGCUCCGGGAGGCCCUGGCGGUGCCCUGCCGUUAAACCCCCAACUUCUGAAAGUUUGACCUCGGAUCAGGUAGGAAUACCCGCUGAACUUAA
rnacentral:rRNA from 1 species